rnacentral:tRNA from 1 species
GGCCUGGUACCGGGCCGGCACCGGACCGUCGCCGCGGUCGACGGGGUGAGCCUGGACGUGCGCCGCGGUGAGGUGCUCGGCGUCGUCGGCGAGUCC